rnacentral:rRNA from 1 species
UAGGGAAUAUUGGUCAAUGGGCGAAAGCCUGAACCAGCCAUGCCGCGUGAGUGAUGAAGGCCUUCGGGUCGUAAAACUCUUUUCUGAGGGAAGAACAUCCUGUGUAGGAAAUGACGCAAGCUUGACGGUACCUCAGGAAUAAGCAACGGCUAACUCCGUGCCAGCAGCCGCGGUAAUACGGAGGUUGCAAGCGUGGUUCGGAAUAACUGGGAGUAAAGGGAGCGCAGGCGGUUAGGUAAGUUCAAAGUGAAAGCACGCGGCUUAACCUCGGAAGUGCUUUGGAUACUGCCUUACUCGAGUUCGUGAGAGGAAAGCUGAAGUCCAGGUGUAGCGGUGAAAUGCGUAGAUAUCUGGAGGAAAACCGGUGGCGAAGGCGGCUGUAUGGCGCGAUACUGACGCUGAGGCUCGAAAGCAUGGGGAGCGAACA